rnacentral:rRNA from 1 species
UACGUAGGUGGCAAGCGUUGUCCGGAAUUAUUGGGCGUAAAGCGCGCGCAGGCGGUCCUUUAAGUCUGAUGUGAAAGCCCACGGCUCAACCGUGGAGGGUCAUUGGAAACUGGAGGACUUGAGUGCAGAAGAGAAGAGUGGAAUUCCACGUGUAGCGGUGAAAUGCGUAGAGAUGUGGAGGAACACCAGUGGCGAAGGCGACUCUUUGGGCUGUAACUGACGCUGAGGCGCGAAAGCGUGGGGAGCAAACAGG